AGCCGGGGAUGAUUCGUUCCUUUCUGACACCUCGUCUGAGGGCGGCGGGCGACCGCGGCCACUGCUGACGCUCCGCGGCUGAGGCUC
rfam:Colinus virginianus strain Texas jcf7180006227092, whole genome shotgun sequence.